AGUGAACGCUGGCGGCAGGCCUAACACAUGCAAGUCGAGCGGAAGAACGGGAGUGCUUGCUCUCUGUGGCGGGAGAGGCGGACGGGUGAGGUAGACAUCUGAAUCGUACCGGUGGAGGAGGUCAACGUACGGGAACUAAUACCGAAUACGCCUUGAGCGUUAGGGUGGCAGAGGGGGAUAGCUAAAGCUAUCGCGUGUGGCUGAGCCGAAGUCGGAUUAGCUAGUUGGAGGGGUAAUGGCAGACCAAGGCGACGAUCCGUAGCUGGUCUGAGAGGAUGAUCAGCCACACUGGAACUGAGACACGGUCCAGACUCCUACGGGAGGCAGCAGUGGGGAAUAUUGGACAAUGGGCGAAAGCCUGAUCCAGCCAUGCCGCGUGUGUGAAGAAGGUCUUCGGAUUGUAAAGCCCUUUUGUUGGGGAAGAAAUCCUGCAAGCUAAUACCCUGGUAUUUUGACGGUACCCAAAGAAUAAGCACCGGCUAACUUCGUG
rnacentral:rRNA from 1 species